ensembl:snoRNA
UGCUCUGAUGAUAGCUAAUAGGAAGUGCCGUCAGAAGCGAUAACUGACGAUAACUACUCCUGGCUGACU